rnacentral:rRNA from 1 species
GACGAACGCUGGCGGCGUGCUUAACACAUGCAAGUCGAACGAAGAGGCGAACGGGUGAGUAAUACGUGGGUAACCUGCCCUCCUUUUUGGGAUAAGCCUUGGAAACGGGGUCUAAUACCGAACAAAGGGGGCUGGGCUCGCGGCCUUUCAGCUUGUUGGUGGGGUGAUGGCCUACCAAGGCGGUGACGGGUAGCCGGCCUGAGAGGGGUAGCGGCCAUGUGUGGACGGGGUUACUGCGCAGACUGCUACGGGGGGCGGCAGAGGGGGAAAUUGCGCAAUGGGCGUAAGCCUGAUGCAGCGACGACGCGUGGGGGAUGAAGGUUUGCGAGUUGUAAUCCUCUUUCACUAGCGAAAGGGUAGGUGGAGAAGAAGCGCCGGCUAACUACGUGCCAGCCGCCGCGGUAAUUC